GUAUUUAUUCUACUGUUUUAGGGCCCUUGGGUUCUUUUGCGGUAGAGAUAUGAGGCAUCUCGUACCUUGGUAUGAGUGCUUUGAAAUUGAUAGCUGGUUUGUGCGUAGUGAUGCUUGAAUCUCUGCAAAGUCAACCCAAAAGUAUUUGAAUGGAACCUUGGUUUCUCAUAAUGCCGAGUAGGGGACAGUAGGGGCUAGUUGCUAGGCUAAGGUCAGUCCAUAACUAUAAAGUCUAGGCGGUCAAACGACUAGGCUUGAA
rnacentral:misc_RNA from 1 species